rnacentral:misc_RNA from 1 species
AACGCACGAGACCUGCGGACCUGCGGAGGGAUCAUUAAUGAGAAACUGCCCCUCGCGGGUAGAUCUCCCACCCUUUGUAAACUUACCUUUGUUGCUUUGGCAAGCCCGUCUCCGGACCGCCGGCUUCGGCUGGCCAGUGCCUGCCAGAGGAUUCUAAAACUCUGUCUGUCAGUGUUGUCUGAGUCUAUAUACAAUCGUUAAAACUUUCAACAAUGGAUCUCUAGAUCGGAAGAGCACACG